GAUGAACGCUGGCGGCGUGCCUAAUACAUGCAAGUCGAGCGAACAGACGAGGAGCUUGCUCCUCUGACGUUAGCGGCGGACGGGUGAGUAACACGUGGAUAACCUACCUAUAAGACUGGGAUAACUUCGGGAAACCGGCGCUAAUACCGGAUAAUAUAUUGAACCGCAUGGUUCAAUAGUGAAAGACGGUUUUGCUGUCACUUAUAGAUGGAUCCGCGCCGCAUUAGCUAGUUGGUAAGGUAACGGCUUACCAAGGCAACGAUGCGUAGCCGACCUGAGAGGGUGAUCGGCCGCACUGGAACUGAGACACGGUCCAGACUCCUACGGGAGGCAGCAGUAGGGAAUCUUCCGCAAUGGGCGAAAGCCUGACGGAGCAACGCCGCGUGAGUGAUGAAGGUCUUCGGAUCGUAAAACUCUGUUAUUAGGGAAGAACAAAUGUGUAAGUAACUAUGCACGUCUUGACGGUACCUAAUCAGAAAGCCACGGCUAACUACGUG
rnacentral:rRNA from 1 species